UAGGGAAUCUUCGGCAAUGGGGGCAACCCUGACCGAGCAACGCCGCGUGAGUGAAGAAGGUUUUCGGAUCGUAAAGCUCUGUUGUAAGAGAAGAACGUGUGUGAGAGUGGAAAGUUCACACAGUGACGGUAACUUACCAGAAAGGGACGGCUAACUACGUGCCAGCAGCCGCGGUAAUACGUAGGUCCCGAGCGUUGUCCGGAUUUAUUGGGCGUAAAGCGAGCGCAGGCGGUUUAAUAAGUCUGAAGUUAAAGGCAGUGGCUUAACCAUUGUUCGCUUUGGAAACUGUUGAACUUGAGUGCAGAAGGGGAGAGUGGAAUUCCAUGUGUAGCGGUGAAAUGCGUAGAUAUAUGGGGGAACACCGGUGGCGAAAGCGGCUCUCUGGUCUGUAACUGACGCUGAGGCUCGAAAGCGUGGGGAGCAAACAGG
rnacentral:rRNA from 1 species